GCGCGUGCGCUGCUCAUUGGCAUGGCCAUGUGAUGCGCCGUGCGCGGCAUGCUCAUUGUAGCCCAGUCGCCCAGUCGAGACUAGAGAGAGAGAGAGAGAGAGAGAGGCACCAUCGCCGGAAACCCUCCCUCCCUCCGCCGCGGCCUUCGCCAUGACGCCCAUUUAGCGGAGCUUAAUUUGCGGCAGAAAUUCAGUGCAAGAUGGAGGAUUGGAAGUUGGGGGUGGGGGAAGCAUCAGGUGGAGAUACAAGAUUAGAGAACUGAUAGAAAUCUGGUGGAGCGAAAUGUUCCGACCAACCGCGUAACAUCGCGUAUGGCGAGUCUGAACAAACUACAACUAUCAGUUUAGAAAGGAAAACAUCGAAAUAGCAUUAUGCAAGGCAAUUUAGAAAAUGGCAGAUUAUUCACAUCAGCAUGAUGAUGAAGAAAAUUUGAUCAAACGUGUAAACCUAAUGACAUAUACAGGAUCAGCUUGGCUAUACACACAUGUGGCGUCCUUCUGUGUUAUUCAUCAUUGUCGUUUUUCUCCAUCAAGUGGGUCGUUCCAAGAAUAAUAAGCGCAUUUCAACAAAUUGUCAGGAACACUGCAGAUAUGGAUAUUUGAUGUACGCACCUGUAUUCCACUGAAAUAUUGAAGUCAACUGCACUAAGGGAAAUGGCAGAAAUUGCUGUUCUGUUUGUCAUAAAAAAGAUAGGAAUAACUGUGGCAGGAGAUACACUAAAGUUAGCUAUACCCCUCUUUGCAAAAAAGGCUGAGUUAAAGAAAGUUGGGCUAGUAACAGCGCUUCCAGGUAACAUGAAGCAGAUAAAAAGCGAACUUGAAAUUACCAAUUCAUUUCUUAAGGAACUUGGCAUGAAUGGGUACAAAAGUGAAGUUGUAGAAACUUGGAUAAAGCAAGUACGGAGGUUGGCACAUGAUAUGGAAGAUGUUGUGGAUGAAUUUAUGUAUGUUGUGGGCAAAAACAAACACAAAGAGUCAUGGGCUUGUGUGAAAAAAGUUAUUAAGAAACAUAAACCUUUAUUUUCACUUGAUGAAAUCGCCACUAAAGCAGAUAUGAUAAACAGAGAGCUUGGGGAGCUUUCCAAAAGACUAGAUCGUUGGACCCGGCCAUUAUCUAGUGGGAGUUAUAUUCCUCUGACAAAUUAUACCAACGAGCAGCAGUUGUAUCUGCCUGGACAUGAUUAUUCAAUUAAUGAUAAUGAGCUUGUAGGGAUUGAUAAAAAUAGGCAAACCUUGAUUGAAUCAUUGCAUCUGGAAGAUUGUUCUCUUCGGAUCAUUGCUGUCUGGGGUAUGGGUGGCCUUGGAAAAAGUACUCUUGUCAAUAAUGUCUACAAAAAUGAAGCAAUAAUAUCCAAUUUUAAUUGCCAUGCAUGGCUUUGUAUCUCUCAAUCAUAUAAAAUACAUGAUGUUUGGCGAAACAUGCUAAAAGAACUUUGUGGAGAAGAGAACCGAGGGCUCGAUGCUGGAAAUAUGAACAAUACAGAACUAAGAGUGGAAAUGUCAAAAAUUCUGCAUCAAAAGCGUUACUUGAUCAUACUAGAUGAUGUAUGGUCGGUUGCAGAUUUUUUAAAGAUUCGUGAAUUUCUUGUUGAUAAUGGCCUAGGAAGCAGAGUAAUAAUCACAACAAGAAUUGAGGAAGUUGCUUCAAUAGCUGAGGAUGGUUGUAAGAUCAGUUUAGAGCCUCUAGAUAACCAUGAUGCAUGGCUUCUAUUCUGUAGAAAGGCAUUUCCGAAAAUUGAAAAUCAUGUAUGCCCUCCAGAAUUACGUCAGUGUGGUAUGAACAUAGUGGACAAAUGUGAUGGUUUGCCUUUAGCUCUUGUGGCAAUAGGGGGUUUACUGUCCCUCAAACCAAGGGAUAAAAACGAGUGGAGACUUUUCUACAAUCAACUUAUUUCAGAGGUACACAAUAAUGAAAACCUAAACCAGGUGGAAAAAAUUCUAAAUCUAAGCUACAAAAACUUGCCAAGCUAUUUGAAGAAUUGCUUCUUAUACUGUGCUAUGUUCCCUGAAGACUAUAUUAUCCAGAGGAAGAGAUUGAUUAGAUUGUGGAUAGCUGAAGGAUUUAUUGAACAGAAAGGAGCAUGCAGCUUAGAAGAAGUUGCUGAAGGUUACCUAAUAGAGCUUGUCCGACGAAGCAUGCUUCAAGUUGUAGCAAGGAACAGUUUUAAUAGGGUUCAGUGUCUUUGAAUGCAUGAUAUUUUGCGCGAACUAGCCAUUUUCCAAUCGAAGAAAGAAAGUUUCUCUACAGUUUAUGAUGACACUCAUGGGGUGGUACAAGUGGGAUUAUCAGACUCUCGCCAUGUCUCUGUGCUCCAAUGCAACACUGAAAUUCGAUCAACUGUAGAUCCAUCCAGGCUACAUACCUUCCUAGCUUUUGACACUAGCAUGACAUUAUCUUUAGCUUCUUCUUUGAUUUUCUCUGAAUCCAAGUACCUUGCUGUUUUAGAAUUACCUGGUUUGCCUAUUGAGAUCAUUCCAUAUUCAAUUGGGGAGCUAUUUAACCUUCGGUAUUUAUGCCUCAAUGACACCAAUGUGAAAGAAUUUCCAAAAUCUAUUACAAAGCUUCUCAACUUACAAACAUUGAGUCUUGAACGUACACGGUUGCUGAAUUUUCCGAGAGGGUUUUCAAAUCUGAGAAAAAUGCGUCAUUUACUUGUUUGGAAAUCAGUUGAUGCUACAUACAAAAGUCUCAAUAAUUGGGAAUCGUUGGAACCAUUUGAGGGCUUGUGGAACUUGAAGGAAUUGGAAUCUUUGUGUGAAGUUCGUGCAACUAAAGCCUUUGUUGCCAAACUAGGAAAUCUAUCCCAGCUGAGGAGCCUUUGCAUUACUUAUGUAAGGACCAGCCAUUGUGCACAACUUUGCAACUCUUUAUCAAAGAUGCAACAUCUCACAAGAUUACACAUAAGAGCAAUGAAUGAAGAUGAGGUCCUCCUGUUGGAAGAUUUAAUGUUGCCAAACCCUCUUGAAAAGUUCGAUUUGCUAGGCCAAUUGUCAAAAGGAACUUUAGAAUCUCCAUUUUUCAGUACUCAUGGAAACGAACUUCUGCAGCUGGAAUUAGCAAGGUGUCAGCUUGAACUGAAUCCAGUAGCACUGCUCUCCAAGUUAUCAAAUUUAACUGAAUUACGCCUUACAAGGGUGUACACUGGACAACAGCUAAACUUUCAUGCAAAUUGCUUCCCAAAUUUGAAGAAAGCACUGUUGUGGGAUUUGCAGCAAGUCAAUCAAAUAAGUAUACAGGAGGGAGCUUUGUCCAGCCUGCAGUAUCUUCACAUUGAUAACCUCAUGGAACUACGGGAUGUGCCCACUGGCAUUGAAUAUCUAAGUUCAGUCAAAGAGGCAUAUUUUACUAUGAUGCAUUCUGAAUUUGUGAGGAAUCUUCGAGCAGCAAAGGUAAAUCAUAUCCCGAAGGUGUACUGGUCAACAAAAGGGGUGUCUGGGGAACCUGCUAACCUGCCUGGAGAAUCCAGUACCACCCCACAAUGGCGUAUGUUAGGAGGGAUAGGUUGGGUUUUCAUCUAACCCAGUUUUGUGGGGGGUUGCCGGUUCACUGUGACAAAAACUUCAGAAUCUAUUCCCAUUUGAUGAAGUGCUGAUGCUUGGCUCACUGAAGGGGAGAUUGUGAACUGAUGUGAAAUGGUCUCAACUACUCCACAUCAUUUUACUGGAACAAUGACAAUUGUGAUUUCACCACUGUAAGCUUGACUUGAAGGGGAACAAAUUUCCUCUAUGGACAUCUUGACUUGGAGCAGCUCCCCUGUUGUCAGAACUCAGAAAUUUCUUUCUACGGCCACACUUCCUAGCGUUCACUGGAUUGGCGGCUGCUGCCUGACUAGAAUUUGAAGACCACACUAUCUCCAUGUCGAUUUAGAGGAGUACAAAGUAAUUUGUAUAUUCAGAAAAUUGUCGAUAUUGCUAUCCCGUGCUUUAGCAAUACGGAUUUACUACGUUCACGUGUUUGCACUUUGCACCACUGUAUUUGAGAGCGUCCAUUGUCCAGUUAUUACUGGUCGAGAAGAGAAGACACAUCGAUCAAUUGAUGCAUGUAAAUGUAAUAGUGUGUGAAAUAAACUACAACUACU